rnacentral:rRNA from 1 species
GCCAGGAAUCUUGGGCAAUGGGGGAAACCCUGACCCAGCAACUCCGCGUGAGGGAUGAAGGCCCUCGGGUCGUAAACCUCUGUCAGGAGGGAAGAAAGGGCCGCAGGCGAAUACCCUGCGGUUUUGACGGUACCUCCAAAGGAAGUCCCGGCUAACUCCGUGCCAGCAGCCGCGGUAAUACGGAGGGGACAAGCGUUGUUCGGAAUCAUUGGGCGUAAAGCGGGUGUAGGCGGCUUGGCAAGUCGGGUGUGAAAUCCCUGGGCCCAACCCAGGAACUGCACUCGAAACUGCCUCGCUAGAGUCCCGGAGAGGGUGGCGGAAUUCCCGGUGUAGAGGUGAAAUUCGUAGAUAUCGGGAGGAACACCAGUGGCGAAGGCGGCCACCUGGACGGUGACUGACGCUCAGACCCGAAAGCGUGGGGAGCAAACAGG